rnacentral:lncRNA from 1 species
CGAAGGUUGAAGAUAUUGAAAAGACAGUGGCACAGACGUACAUGGUCCAGGCGCGCGUUAACCUGGGUGUUGAUCCAAACCAUUUUUCUACCUUCCGUCGCCUUUGUCGUGUGACUGGAUGGGUUCAACGAUUCGUUACAAACUGCAGACUUCCAAGGGAAUUACGAAAACGAGACAGAACGCUUUGUUCAACUGAAAUACUUAAUGUGGAAAAGUGGUGGAUCAAACAAGCGCAAGGAGAAGCUUUCCCGAAAGGAGAGCGAGAAGGAUGUUUACUGCGACUUAGUCCAAAGAACGGUGACGAUGGUCUUCUGAGGAUGGACGGACGUUUAAGACUUGCGGAUGAACUAUCCUACAACACAAAACACCCCAUUAUAUUGCCAAAAGAACACGUGGUGACCCGACUCAUCAUCAAGGAUGCACAUGAAGAACUCGGACAUGGUUCCGGAGUUGAGCAGGUUCUAACACUGCUACGCAGUCGUUUCUGGAUCGUAAAAGGAAGACGCGCGGUAAGGAAUAUCGUUGAGUCAUGUGCGCAAUGUCGACGACGUUUUUCUGUAAAAACAGCCGAGCAGAAGAUGGCACCGCUGCCCAGACCGCGACUUCAAUCGUUACGAGCUUUCGAAAGAGUCGGAGUGGAUUAUGGAGGCCCAUUUCUAACGAAGCAAGGACGAGGCAAAGCCAAAGCAAAGAGAUACCUAUGCCUAUUUACUUGUCUAGCGACAAGGGCUGUUCACCUUGAGAUGUCAUACUCAUUAGACACGGCUUCCUUCAUCAAUGCCUUUACGCGAAUGGUAUCGAGGAGGGGGACGCCCGUAUAUGUUAUAUCGGACAAUGGGACCAAUUUCGUGGGCGCAGAGCGGGAGAUGAGAGAAUUAGUUCAAGCUUUUAACCAGGACAAAAUUGCCCAAGAAACCACCAAGUAUCAACCCAUUGAAUGGAAAUUCAAUCCUCCAUCGGCCCCUCAUUUUGGAGGGAUUUUCGAGGCUAUGAUAAAGAGCGCCAAGAAGGCAAUAAAAAUCGUCCUAGGAGAUGCAGAUGUGACGGAUGAAGAACUUCAGACCGCAAUGUGUGGAGCUGAAAGACUGGUAAACUCACGGCCCAUCACUUAUGUGAGUUCAGAUCCAAACGACCCGUCCCCACUUACUCCAAAUCAUUUUAUAGUCGGACAGAUCGGUGGGGUAUUUGCUCCUGAAGCUCUUGAUCAAGUUGAAGCGAACAACCCUAGGAAUCGCUGGCAUCGAGUACAACAAUUGUUACAGCUGUUCUGGAAGCGCUGGAGAAAGGAGUUCCUUCCACGUCUUAAUGUAAGCAAGAAAUGGUUUCAUCCCAAACAUAACCUGAAACAAGGCGAUGUGGUAUUGAUUGCUGAACCCAAAGCAAGUAGGGGAGAAUGGCCUCUUGCCCGUGUGAUCGAAGCGUAUCAAGGAAGUGACGGCCUAGUCCGAGUUGUAAAGGUGAAAUCCAGGAACAAAGAAUAUUUCCGUCCUAUACAUCGAUUGUGUCCUCUCGAGUAUGUUGACGAACAUUCGGACAAUGAAGAUAGAUAACUGAAACGUUAUAUAGAAGUGAACAUAAAGGACGUUAAUUAAGUCGUAUUUGUUAGUAUUCAUUGACAUUGCUAAUCCCUCUAUUUAUUGUCUUUAAGUGGAAUCGAAUGCGUUGCAUUCGGGAGGGGGAUGUUAACGAACGAUAUUAUUAUAUGAAGUACUUGUUAUCAUGACCGCUGAAAUAGUCGCGCGGGCGACAAAACGUUUUUUGAACGUUCUAGUUUAUAUUUUUCGACUACAAAAAGUGUGACGAUAUUUAGGCUAUUUUUGUGUUUAAAGACUCGGAAUAAAGUGGCGAAUUAUCUCGUGUAGACAUUUUAUAGACAGUUC